UUAACCCUACNNUACCANUACAACCUCAAAACCCGAACUAAUACUGAGUUAUUCUAUACCCCUAUAGAACUAAUUAUGUUAAAACUAGUAACACAGAAAUCAACUUUCUCUUAUAUGUAAACGUAAAUCAGAUUGAAUAACUCACUGAUAAUUAACAGNUUUUAUGAAAUUAAUGUAGUAACCAAUCAAGAAAAUUCUACUUUAACUACUGUUAACCUAACACAAGAACAUAUCAAGAAAGAUUUAAAGAUAUAGAAGGAACUCGGCAAAUAUUUAAGCCCCGCCUGUUUACCAAAAACAUCGCCUCUUGAAUUACAUAAGAGGUCCCGCCUGCCCAGUGACUUUGUUCAACGGCCGCGGUAUU
rnacentral:rRNA from 1 species